rnacentral:rRNA from 1 species
UGGGGAAUAUUGCACAAUGGGCGCAAGCCUGAUGCAGCCAUGCCGCGUGUGUGGAGAAGGCCUUCGGGUUGUAAAGCACUUUCAGCGAGGAGGAAGGUGGUGAGCUUAAUACGCUCAUCAAUUGACGUUACUCGCAGAAGAAGCACCGGCUAACUCCGUGCCAGCAGCCGCGGUAAUACGGAGGGUGCAAGCGUUAAUCGGAAUUACUGGGCGUAAAGCGCACGCAGGCGGUUUGUUAAGUCAGAUGUGAAAUCCCCGGGCUCAACCUGGGAACUGCAUUUGAAACUGGCAAGCUAGAGUCUCGUAGAGGGGGUAGAAUUCCAGGUGUAGCGGUGAAAUGCGUAGAGAUCUGGAGGAAUACCGGUGGCGAAGGCGGCCCCCUGGACGAAGACUGACGCUCAGGUGCGAAAGCGUGGGGCAGCAAACAGGAUUAGAUACCCUGGUAGUCACGCUGUAAACGAUGUCGAUUUUGGAGGUUGUGCCCUUGAGGCGUGGCUUCCGGAGCUAACGCGUUAAAUCGACCGCCUGGGGAGUACGGCCGCAAGGUUAAAACUU